rnacentral:rRNA from 1 species
CACGUAGGGGGCGAGCGUUGUCCGGAUUUAUUGGGCGUAAAGAGCUCGUAGGCGGCUCGGUAAGUCAGGUGUGAAAACUCUAGGCUCAACCUAGAGACGCCACCUGAUACUGCUGUGGCUAGAGUCCGGUAGGGGAGCAUGGAAUUCCUGGUGUAGCGGUGAAAUGCGCAGAUAUCAGGAGGAACACCAGUGGCGAAGGCGGUGCUCUGGGCCGGAACUGACGCUGAGGAGCGAAAGCCAGGGGAGCAAACGGG